rnacentral:lncRNA from 1 species
GAGAAUUAUUAGCAUGCUUUCAUAUGGAGGUAUUGUUUGUUUGGAUUAUGUAGAUCCAUGGGAGAUGUUUGUGAUCGCAUGUGCCGCCCUACUGAAAAUGGGACAGGUACUGUACUCAAAGCUUCAAGUUUCAACUCUACUUCUGGUUUGCAAUAUGAAUGGUAUUAAUUUAUGCCUUAUUUGAACUUUCCAUUUCCUAUAUCAGUUUAUAGCAUUCUGUGUGUACUAAAGAGAGUGAUGCAUUCUGCAUGUCUCUUAAUUUAAGCCGGGGCAAUAAUGCUGGUGGCGUUUUUACUUGUAAUACAGAUUGGAAACAUUGACCCUGACUGUAGACUUAUUGGCCUUCACCUCUAUGAUGGAUUGUUUUUUUUGGGGGAGGACUAUGAGGGAUUGUUUAAGGUAAGUCCAUUGUCUGCUACUUUAUUUUCAUGAAUUUUGGUCAUCCGUUCUUGCAGCCAAGCGACACUUUCACACCACCAACAGUUGUAGUCAUGUUUGAUCUGCACAAGCAAUGAUCUAUAUUUCUCAUGCCUUGGCAUGCGCAGUGUGAGUUCGUGAUCGCAUCAUAACAAAAAUGGAAAACCAGAUCAUAUGAAAAGCAAGACAAAUAUAAAAUUAUUUAGCCUAAAAUUAAAACAGUGCAUAUGAAAACCAGAUCCUAAUUUUGGUGUUACAUUAUUUAGUCUCCAAAUAGUCUAUUUGAUACAUAUAAAAUCAUUCAAGUUUUUAAAUAUUCCUUCGAGAGUAAUGAUUCUCUCCAAAUUAAUGGCACAAAACACUAAUAGUGAUCUUAUAUUAUUUUGUGGGAAGUUGAAAGUCUAGAGCUUUUUUUCUUACCACCCACUACUUUUCCAGGCACUACUAACCUCUUGUACAUGUGUGCACAUUGGGACAAUGAUGAUUUUUCAUGGGGAGGAAUGAUUGUCGAGGAGGUUGAGCAGAUGAUAGUCAGGUGGAACAUACGGAGACUGAUAUGUCUACCAAAAUGUUGAGUAACAUCUUGAGGGUAAGCUAUAUGAAUGUUAAUGAUGAGGUGUGAUGCCCACUGUUUUCAGAUUAGAUGCAUUGUUUCAUUAUUCAAGUUUCCAAUUGUACGUUGAAAAAAAAUUCUCUCAAGUGUUUGAGAUAAUUUCCUUUUUCUUUUUGAAAACCAUCAUCAGGUUCUGAUCUCAUUUUAAAGUUGUCUAUGAAGUAUGAAGUAUGCAUUAGGAAAAUGCCACAUAUAAUCAGUGGCUAUGUAUUUCCUCAUUUCGUGGGAGGCAUGUUAACAAUCUUAUGUUGUCUUAUAAUUUGCCUUGAUUUUUUUAUUUCAUAAUUUAUCUUGAAAGUUUCCUACCAAAAACUAAAAUAUUUCCUAAUUGUACUCAAGUCUGUGUGGGUUUAAAUUUUUGUUUCUUUGUUUUUGGUAUGCUAUAUUCCAUGUUGGUCCCCACCACCAGAAGGUGCAGUCUAUAUUAAUGUCUGAGGCAACAUUACUCUUCUUCUUAGGUGGGGUUGAGCGUCAUGACCGAGGACAACAUGGGAAAUUGAUUAGCUGCUUGUAGCCGACUACUUGAUGAGGUUUAUGAUAUCACCAAUCACAUAAGCACUUACCAUUAGGUGUGCAUUGACCCUUGAGAAGGCUUGAGCAACAUCAUAUUGGCUUGUGAUUGUCUCUCCGUGGUUGAGCGCACCAAUUCCUCCACUAUCGACCAAUCGCUGGUUGGUGUCGGUAUGGAGGAUAUCAA